rnacentral:hammerhead_ribozyme from 1 species
AUCCAGCUAAUGAGUCCCAAAUAGGACGAAACGUGCGUUCUAGAU